UCCUCGUUCUUUCUGAGCUCUAGCUGGCUGGUUCAACUCAGUUAUUUUGACUCAAACUCCUCUCCAAGAUGAAUGAUUCAAACUGGCUUCUUUCUCUGCCUCUCCUGAGUUCCACUGCUUGGCCUCAUCCUAACUUUGGCAAUGUGUUCUAAUCUUCUGGCUCCUUCUCAUUUCCUUGCUCAUUCUGUCUUUACUGGUGUCUAGCUUGCUCUCUCUUCAACUUGUCUCUGUAAAACUCUCCCAGUAAAAACGCCUCUUUCUCUCUGCACUGCCCCGCAAGAAGCUUUCCUUUCCUCUCCCUUCUCCUGAGAGUUGGGCAGAUCCUGUUCUGUCAAAUCUUUCUCUGAUUCGUCACUUUGUCUGCCACUCAGCUAGACACCACUUUCAAACAUGGGUGCUUCCUUCUACAAAUUGACUUUACCUUCAUUGUUUGGGAUUGAAGGUGUAUACUAAGAGUGUGCCUAUAUUCCACCUAGAGGGGUUAAAGGUAUAUGCUAAGGCUGAGUCACACCACAACUAGAAACAGGUUUUUCCAGUCAACAACAAUCUUGGGGUUCCCAGUGUGAUCAAAUAUCCUAUUUCAAACACCUAGUUGUCUGAGGAAAGCUCGGAUGAGUUGUCUCCAUUCAGAGAUUACAGGCUGGCUGUGCCAGGCAAUGGGUUGCUGGAGGUGUCCAGGUAUGAUUGAAAACAUUUGCUUACACAACCCAUG
rnacentral:lncRNA from 1 species